GACGAACGCUGGCGGCGUGCCUAAUACAUGCAAGUCGAACGCUUCUUUCCUCCCGAGUGCUUGCACUCAAUUGGAAAGAGGAGUGGCGGACGGGUGAGUAACACGUGGGUAACCUACCCAUCAGAGGGGGAUAACACUUGGAAACAGGUGCUAAUACCGCAUAACAGUUUAUGCCGCAUGGCAUAAGAGUGAAAGGCGCUUUCGGGUGUCGCUGAUGGAUGGACCCGCGGUGCAUUAGCUAGUUGGUGAGGUAACGGCUCACCAAGGCCACGAUGCAUAGCCGACCUGAGAGGGUGAUCGGCCACACUGGGACUGAGACACGGCCCAGACUCCUGCGGGAGGCAGCAGUAGGGAAUCUUCGGCAAUGGACGAAAGUCUGACCGAGCAACGCCGCGUGAGUGAAGAAGGUUUUCGGAUCGUAAAACUCUGUUGUUAGAGAAGAACAAGGACGUUAGUAACUGAACGUCCCCUGACGGUAUCUAACCAGAAAGCCACGGCUAACUACGUG
rnacentral:rRNA from 1 species